CAGACACGCAGGGAUGUAGAGCACCACCUAUGGCUAGCUGAGCAUAGGCCCACUCUAGCUCUAUUAGCUCCAUCUCCACCCCACGCGAAGAUGGCCCAAGAGGAAAAGAUGACACGGAGGAAGGAAGAUGUCGAUGGCCUGAAAGCGAACACAAAGCAAUAUUAUUCCAAUCGGUGUAUCGAUGAUUUGAUCCGUUCGGGUGGAAGAGAAUUCAAUGACCUGUUCCGAUCAUUCUCGAAAUUGGUUCUCACCAGAAUUCUGUCUCAGAUUUUUUGAGUUCAUGUGUCCUACUCUACUGCAUACCUUGAUCUUUCAUUUCAAAGCAUUUCGUGGACUAUGCGACAACCAUUUUGAUAUGUUACAUUUUGCGAGACGUACCUGCAGGAUGUUAAUCUUCAGAAGCUGCUAAUCGAUGCCAUGGCAAAACACUUGGCCAAGAAGGAGAAGGAUUUGGAGCAGAAGGAUGUUCUAGUUGAGAGGGAAGGUCGGAAGCCA
rnacentral:lncRNA from 1 species